rnacentral:rRNA from 1 species
UUUGUUGUCCGACUCUGUUGCCUCCGGGGCGACCCUGCCUUCGGGCGGGGGCUCCGGGUGGACACUUCAAACUCUUGCGUAACUUUGCAGUCUGAGUAAACUUAAUUAAUAAAUUAAAACUUUUAACAACGGAUCUCUUGGUUCUGGCAUCGAUGAAGAACGCAGCGAAAUGCGAUAAGUAAUGUGAAUUGCAGAAUUCAGUGAAUCAUCGAAUCUUUGAACGCACAUUGCGCCCCCUGGUAUUCCGGGGGGCAUGCCUGUUCGAGCGUCAUUUCACCACUCAAGCCUCGCUUGGUAUUGGGCAACGCGGUCCGCCGCGUGCCUCAAAUCGACCGGCUGGGUCUUCUGUCCCCUAAGCGUUGUGGAAACUAUUCGCUAAAGGGUGUUCGGGAGGCUACGCCGUAAAACAACCCCAUUUCUAAGGUUGACCUCGGAUCAGGUAGGGAUACCCGCUGAACUUAAGCAUAUCAAUAAGCGG